rnacentral:rRNA from 1 species
CCUACGGGAGGCCAGCAGUGAGGACUAUUGGGCGAUGGAGGCAACUCUGACCCAGCCAUUCCGCGUGCAGGAAGAAUNCCCUAUGGGUUGUAAACUGCUUUUAUUUAGGAAUNNACCUCUCUACGUGUAGAGAGCUGAAUGUANUAUANGAAUAAGCACCGGCUAACUCCGUGCCAGCAGCCNCGGUAAUNCGGAGGGUGCAAGCGUUAUCCGGAAUCAUUGGGUUUUAAGGGUCCGCAGGCGGANGUAUNAGUCAGUGGUGAAAUCCUNCAGCUUAACUGCAGAACUGCCAUUGAUACUGUANNUCUUGAAUUCGGUCGANGUGNUNGGAAUUUGUACUGUANCGGUGNUAUNCAUAGAUAUNACNCAGAACACCGAUAGCGAAGNCAGCUCACUAGGCCUGGAUUGACGCUCAGGNACGAAAGCGUGGGGAUCAAACAGGANUAGAUACCCUGGUAGUCCACGCUGUAAACGAUGAUCACUCGUUUUCGGCGAUAUACAGAUCGGAGNCUCAAGCGAAAGUGAUAAGUGANCCGCCUGGGGAGUACGAUCCA